AAAGCGAAAGCGUUAAGUGCCCCACCUGGGGAUUACGUCGUAAGAAUGAAACUCAAAGGAAUUGACGGGGGCCCGCACAAGCGGAGGAACAUGUGGUUUAAUUCGAUGAUACGCGAGGAACCUACCUGGGCUUAAAUGCUAGGCGUCUUCGAGCGUAGUCUGUAGAAAUACAGCUUAAACUUGCAAGGUGCUGCAUGGUUGUCGUCAGCUCGUGCCGUGAGGUGUCGGGUUAAGUCCCAUAACGAGCGCAACCCACAUUCUUAGUUGCCAUCAAAUAAGUUGGGCACUCUAGGAAAACUGCCAUCGUAAGAUGUGAGGAAGGUGUGGAUGACGUCAAAUCAGCACGGCCCUUAUGUCCAGGGCUACACACGUGUUACAAUGGUCGGUACAAAAGGCAGCGACCUGGUAACAGAGAGCUAAUCUUAAAAACCGGCCUCAGUUCGGAUUGGAGUCUGCAAUUCGACUCCAUGAAGUCGGAUUCGCUAGUAACCGCGUAUCAGCAAUGACGCGGUGAAUACGUUCCCGGGCCUUGUACACACCGCCCGUCAAGCCAUGGAAGCUGGGUGCACCUGAAGUCCGUGACCGUUCAGGAGCGGCCGAAGGUGAAACUAGUGACUGGGGCUAAGUCGUAACAAGGUAACCAAGGGCGAA
rnacentral:rRNA from 1 species